UGGGGAAUUUUCCGCAAUGGGCGAAAGCCUGACGGAGCAAGACCGCGUGAGGGAGGAAGGCUCUUGGGUUGUAAACCUCUUUUCUCAGGGAAGAAGCACUGACGGUACCUGAGGAAUCAGCAUCGGCUAACUCCGUGCCAGCAGCCGCGGUAAUACGGAGGAUGCAAGCGUUAUCCGGAAUCAUUGGGCGUAAAGCGUCCGCAGGUGGCUGUUCAAGUCUGCCGUCAAAUCUCAGGGCUUAACCCUGAACAGGCGGUGGAAACUGAAAAGCUAGAGUGCGGUAGGGGUAGAGGGAAUUCCCGGUGUAGCGGUGAAAUGCGUAGAGAUCGGGAAGAACACCAGUGGCGAAAGCGCUCUGCUGGACCUGCACUGACACUGAGGGACGAAAGCUAGGGGAGCGAAUGGGAUUAGAUACCCCAGUAGUCCUAGCCGUAAACGAUGGAGACUAGGUGUGGCUCGUAUCGACCCGAGCCGUGCCGUAGCUAACGCGUUAAGUCU
rnacentral:rRNA from 1 species